CAGAAAAAGUAGAGAAGCUUCACACAUAAUUCAGAACUGAAAAGUCAAAACAAUAAGUGAAGUAUAAAGCGUGUGUGUUUCUGAAUGCAUAACAAAACAUGGUAACGACAAACUAAAGAUGCAGUAACAGGCUGAACUUAAGGUAAAGAAUCUUCACAUUCAUGGGAAACAAGGUUAAUGCAAUCACCUUCAAGAAGCCACUAGAACGGUAGAACUUCUAUUGCUAGUUCAUACAUUAAUGCCUUUAUGCUUUGGUGAUUUGAAAAUUUUUGGGUUUGGUUUUUGGGGUAAUGAGUGGAGAGAGAAACUAGGGUAAUAAUUAGAGAUAGGGGUAAUGAGGGGGGAGAGAAAAAUGAGAGUAAUAAUCUGAGAUGGAGUAAUGAGUGGAGAGAGAAAUGAUUGGAAGUAGGGAUAAUGAGUGUUUUUGGAGUUUGAAUUUUUUUUUUUCAAAUUAGGAACCGAACAAAGCAUAAGUUUCCUCAGAUAAGAUACUAGCUUCCAAAAGUUUCUUAUUUUGUAUUGAAUUUGCGGACCUCUGUGCAGAAUUUUGAAGCUGGUCCACUUUUCGCUCCGCAUCUUCAAGUUUAUUAACCAGCUCUGUGUUUCUGACCUCAGCAUAUGUACAAGCCUUCCUAGCUUCUUCAGCAGCCUGUCCCCCCGACAACAGCAAAGCCUGUAAAGCAUUCCUCCAAGUCAGUGAACUCCACAACUUUCGUGUAGCUUGAGAAUCAAUGUAACUAAUAAGGCUUUUGUUCGGAUGAAACUGAUCUGAUAUGGCUAAUAUGGGUGACAUGAAUUGCUUAAAUGGUGAUUGGAAUGUUGCAUCGGUUCUGUUCAUUAUUAUUUUAUUUCAAUUCCAUGGAGGCGAAAAAUGAGAUGAUAAGUAAUUUAGCAAAACAAACCUAACAAAUAUAAAACCAUAGCUAAACAAAAAGAUCCACCAUUCUUUAGCUGUCUAACCAGAUUGAAGUGGUAGUAAUAGUCUACUUUGAGGCAACAUAACCCGAGAAAUAGCAACAUAAAGAUCCACCAUUCGUUAGCUGCCUAAUGACUCUAAUCUACAGAUAGCAUCGUUUCACAUUGUGUAUAUUUUGUUGCCGUAAAUAUUGGUAAGAGUUCAAGUCAGAGAGUGUACCUUCAAACUCUCUACUUCAGCUGUUAAAGAAUCAAUCUUUGCUGUGUCUUGAACUAUGAUUGGGGUCUCCUUAACUACAGGAGGUGCUUCUUUAAUAGCUUUGCGUGCCGCCUCUUGUUCCUUGAUAACUCUGGCAUUUGCCUCUUCUACUUGUAUUUGCAUUGCAUGCAAAGCAACCUGUAACUUGGCAAUUUCUUGGGCCUUUGCCUCUUCCAGAUCAGUCUGUUUUUUGAGGAAACAACAAUAUGGUGCAAAUCAGGUUUGGUCACUACCAUAUCAUCCAGAGACAAGUCGUAACUAAAUAAAAAAAUACCCUUAAUCGCUUCUCGAGCUGCAACCGCCACGUAAGUUCCUCCACACGCUUUUCUAGCUUGUCUUUUGCUUCUUUGAGGGCCCCUGUUUCUCUUGCAGCCUGGAAGAAUUUGCAUGAACAGUUAGAACUAGAAAGUUAUUCACCAUCGACACCGCAUUAAGCAUUAAACUUUCAACAAGAGAGGAAAAAACACUAAGCAAUGAGAGCAAACCAUUUUGAGCAUCCUGAGCUCUUUCCGAGCAACUCUUCGCCUCCAACCACAUUGAGAAACAAUUACAGCCUUUUGAAUGCUUCUAUAAUAAGAGUAUGCUCUGUGACGACGCAAAUGAGCCUGCAAGCCAAAAUCAUUUGCUUAAUAUUCAGUCACUUGGAAACCAAAUGAAGCGGGAUUGAUAGAUACUAUAUGGCGAUAGGACCUGGAUAGUGAUUGCAGCCUUAGUUUGCUUUCUGAAUCUGAAUUCAGUGGAAGCACUCAUUGCCCUUAAGCCUGUCUGCAAUGUGAUUGCAGAGGAUCGCACUGUUAUGUAGGAUUUCCG